rnacentral:snRNA from 2 species
GUACUCUCUUCUGCAGUGCAUAUACAAAAUUUGGAACAUACAGAGAUUAGCAUGGCCCCUGUGCAAGGAUGAUCGGAUGGUUUGGAUGUUUUGUCCCUUCCA